rnacentral:rRNA from 1 species
CCUACGGGAGGCAGCAGUGGGGGAUUUUGGACAAUGGGCGCAAGCCUGAUCCAGCAAUGCCGCGUGCAGGAUGAAGGCCUUCGGGUUGUAAACUGCUUUUGUACGGAACGAAACGGUCCUUUCUAAUACAAGGGGCUAAUGACGGUACCGUAAGAAUAAGCACCGGCUAACUACGUGCCAGCAGCCGCGGUAAU